UAAUGUUGAAACACUGGUUCCUGUACAAUCAAUGAAGUUAAGCAACAUCAAACCUGGUCAGUACCUAGAUAGGUGACCGCUUGGGAAUACCAGGUGGUGUA